rnacentral:rRNA from 1 species
GACGAACGCUGGCGGCGUGCUUAACACAUGCAAGUCGAACGGAAAGGCCCUGCUUUUGUGGGGUGCUCGAGUGGCGAACGGGUGAGUAACACGUGAGUAACCUGCCCUUGACUUUGGGAUAACUUCAGGAAACUGGGGCUAAUACCGGAUAGGAGCUCCUGCUGCAUGGUGGGGGUUGGAAAGUUUCGGCGGUUGGGGAUGGACUCGGGGCUUAUCAGCUUGUUGGUGGGGUAGUGGCUUACCAAGGCUUUGACGGGUAGCCGGCCUGAGAGGGUGACAGGCCACAUUGGGACUGAGAUACGGCCCAGACUCCUACGGGAGGCAGCAGUGGGGAAUAUUGCACAAUGGGCGGAAGCCUGAUGCAGCAACGCCGCGUGCGGGAUGACGGCCUUCGGGUUGUAAACCGCUUUCGCCUGUGACGAAGCGUGAGUGACGGUAAUGGGUAAAGAAGCACCGGCUAACUACGUG